UUYGACUGUUUACCAAAAACAUAGCCAACAGAAAACAUUAAUAUUGGUGACGCCUGCUCAAUGAUUGAACAAUAAACAAACAGAAAAACAAUUCAAUAGCUGCGGUAACACCUGACCGUACAAAGGUAGCACAAUAAAUAGCCUACUAAUUACAGGAUUGCAUGAAGGCAAAACGAAGUUUAAACUGUCUCAAGACCCUACUACCAAAAUAGAAUAUGUGUACAAAUCCACAUUUAAACGGCAAGACGAUAAGACCCUAAGAACUUUACUCAAAACCUUAACACAACUUUCUUCUAAAAAAAAUAAAAGAUAAAAGCUCAAGUUUCAAGUUUCGUUGGGGCAACGAUCUCAAAAAAAAUAAAUGAGACUAUCUACAAUCAAAAAAAGAAAGACAAAAUAAGUCAACACAACAUAUAAAAUGAUAAGACCCGCUAAUAACAAAAAAUUAACGAACAAAAAAUAAAAGUUCCUUAGGGAUAACAGCGUAAUAUUGUUCCUAAAGAUCAACUCAAACAAUGUUUGCGACCUCGAUGUUGAAUUA
rnacentral:rRNA from 1 species